GACAUACACCAAAAAGCUGUAGAGAUAUAGCCCCCCUUGUGGUUGGUGUACAGGUGGUGCAUGGCUGUCGUCAGCUCGUGUCGUGAGAUGUUGGGUUAAGUCCCGCAACGAGCGCAACCCUUGUCCUGUAUUGCCAGCGGGUUAUGCCGGGGACUUGCAGGAGACUGCCGGGGUCAACUCGGAGGAAGGUGGGGAUGACGUCAAGUCAUCAUGCCCCUUAUGUCCAGGGCUUCACACAUGCUACAAUGGCUGGUACAGAGGGCUGCGAUACCGUGAGGUGGAGCGAAUCCCUUAAAGCCAGUCUCAGUUCGGAUUGGGGUCUGCAACUCGACCCCAUGAAGUCGGAGUCGCUAGUAAUCGCAGAUCAGCAACGCUGCGGUGAAUACGUUCCCGGGUCUUGUACA
rnacentral:rRNA from 2 species